UCAUCGUUCCAAAUAUCUGUUUCACUGUAAUAAUUGGGAUUCUCUCUUCUUACUUAAUACCUCUUUAAUUCUUUCUUCAUUAGAGAUGUUAACGUUUCACCUCCUUUGGUUUCUCCUCUUAUGUAAACCCCUUUCUCGAAUUUGACGGCCUACCACAUUCUACAACAUCCAAAGAAUGGCGUCAAGCGAUUCAUUUAAAACCUCUAGAAAAUCUGGAGAAAUUAUGAAUCUCAUGACUCAACUGUCGAGCGAGUGAUGCUCGAGCCGUACGCAGUUCACCGCGAGCUUUAGGAACCGGAUUUGAGUUGAGUUGUGGCAGAUAUGAGAUGGAAGCGAGCCGUUGAGUCCAUUGGAGGAAUCAAGACUUUGCAUGUGUAAUGUUUUAAAUUUUCAUGGGCAAUUUUUUAUCUGAAAUUCUAAUCACUAGGUUUUCAAAUCGUUAGGAGAGACAUUCAAGAAGGUGCAAGUGAAAACGCAUUUGUGGGGAAAUUUAAGAAAUAAGUUGUUUGCAACAAGUUCAACUGUAUCACCAUUGUUAAAGGAGUUUGAAAUUUUUGGGAUAAAACUCAGAGACUGCACGAGUGUGAUUCAUCACAAUUACAUGCUUUUCAACACAGUCGAUCUGUUUAUUUUUCUCCACCAGUUAGGGGACUGCACGAAUGUGAUUCAUUUGUGGGAGCCAGUUUCUGGUGCAUAGACUGUUGACCAUAUUCCGCUCUCCGGACGCACUACAAAUGUUUAAGAUUUACAAUGGAAUCCAGCUGAAGCCAACGUUUUUGCAUCGCCUUUUGUGGAUGACUGUUGCAGUUUGGGAUGUCCGAGUUGGGAAGUCGCAUGCAUUAGCCUUCAAGGCACAAAAAGAUGUGAAUGUCAUCUCAUCGAACAGGUUCUUCGGCCAAGGUACGUUGAAGACUGUAGGCUUUAUAAUUCCGUGUCAGUAACUUAAUAUGAUUCUACCACGUCCUCAACUAUUGCAGCCUCUUCUGGCAAUAAGCAGCUCACGUAAGUCACAAAGCUUAUACAGAAAACACAGCUAAUCCGGAAACAAUAGAAACUAUCUAAUGGUUUUUGGCUUAUCUAUCGUAUAUGCAGGAUAUGGGAUUUAUCCUUAGAGGAGGAUGAAGAAGAGAAAGAAGAAUUCAAAGCAUAUACCAAGGAACAACUGAGCAAGUUAAAACGCCACAAGACUUGCCUUCUUAGCUUCCUUUCUUUCACCAGAAAAUCAGGGACAAGGACUUGAAGGAACUUCACUGGCACAACCAGAUUCCAGGGAUGAUCAUCUCAAUUGCUUCCGAUGGUUUCAACAGUUUUAAUGCCUUACAACAUGUAGAACACCCUUCCUGAUCUCGGUUCCUAAGGAGAUUGAGUCUCUGAAAAAAAAAUUAAGUAUUGUCAUCUCUUGGGUUUUGUAUUGUCAUCUCUCUUUUCUACUGAAAUUUUCUUUCAUUGAUAGAAAGUUUUAUGUACUCUUUCACAACUUAACGUUUCAGAAAUAAGUUUUGAAAAUUCUCAUCUCUACGAGUUUCUAUUAUUUCACAACUUUUAAGCUUCCAACAUUGGUUGAUUUGCUUUUAGUUGCCACACAGAAUGAAAAAAACAUUUUGAAGGAAAAAAAAGCCAACAUUUCGUUAAACUGUCUGAGAUAGAAAAAUAAUAAUUGGUGGGCCAUUCUUAUGAACAUCGGUCCUCUGUCGACAAUUACUCGAGGGUGUUUGGACGUAGCACAACUCUGUUAAGCUACACAAACAAGAAAAUCUACAUUUAAAACAUUGACGAUAACUGAAAACUAAAAAAGAAACUGAAGAAAAGCAACAUUUAUAUGCAUGACCAUUCAUUAUAGAAAAAUGUAAUUGCAUGGCCAUAACAUUAUCAUAGUGUUUUGCAAAGGAAAAGUUAUGCUAAACUCGGGAUGGUUGUACUCUUCUUUGACAAUAAGGUAUGAAUUCAGUUUAGUAUGCUCCUACUUUAUUAACAAUAUAUAUAAACUAAUAUGGCCAAAAAAGAGAGCAAAAUGCAAAACGCAAUUGCAGACUAACACAAUAAUAAUGUAAAGAAAAGAAAAAUAUAAAAUUUUGAAGUUAGUGGUGCAUCUAAAUAACCGAAAUUUAAAGAUAACACAACAUAUAUAUAUCAUUUAGAUUACCAAAAUAAUGGAAAUACUAUCAUCAAAAAAAAUUGCUGAAAAUACCUUAUUACACUUUAUGGAUAAAAAAUAAUGAACUACUACGUCUAUAUAUAAUACCAACACAAAUCUACCAAGUAACUUCCUUAAUUUUCUCAAAAUAUAAGGUUAUCAAAUAUUUAUUGAUAAUACUACUGGAAAAUAUAUCAAGACAUCUUAGGUCAAAUACAUUUCAUAUAAGGAAUUAAUCUUCAAAAUUGUAGCCUUACAACUAAGAGAUACAGCCUAGAAAAAAAAGGGAACACAACAAGCACCUAAAAUUAAGCGUAUAAAAAUAAAACUGUUGCAUGUCCACAAUUAUGCAGUGUUAAGUUUUUGCUUCUGUUUUGGUGUGGGUAUUUCGGUGUUUAGCUCUAGAAAUUAAGACAUCAUUUAAGUAUUUAAAAAAUUUGGUUUGGAUUUAGUUCGGUUAUUUUAGUUUUCAGCUUAAUUUAGAUAGCAAAGGUCAGAACCAGUUAAUAUCCAAAAAUCUGGAUCAAAUUCGGUUCCAUUUUCCGUGUAAUUUCAGACAAUAUGGAUAAAAAAAAUUGAGAAAUAAUUCGAAUCCCCUAGACUAUAUUUGAGAAGUGAUUUGUAUAUGUGUCAUCACUACAUUACCUUUCACAAAAAAAAUGAUGACAUGACUUAAGAGAAAUAUGACAUGGCAUAAAUCUAAUUGUGACAUGUAAAAUUUACUAUAUUUAGAUUUAUGUUUUUGGUAAGAUUUCUUAAAUAUAAUAAUGAUGAUUUUCUAUAUACGGAUUUAUAUUUUUGGAAAAUUUUCAUAAUAUAGUAAUAACAAAUAAAUUUUAUAUCAAAAAUAUUUGUUCUCAGUAAAUAUUCAUUUUGGUAAGAUUUUAUGAUACUUAAUAACUUUUCUAUAUCUAUUUAAAUAAUAUGUUUUUAUAUAUAAAUAAUAAUUACGAAUAUUAAAAUUUUACAUCAAUGUAUGAAUCAUAUUUUUAAUUUUAAAAUAAGUGUAGUUUAAAAUAUAUUUUAUCAACGUAUAUAUGUUAUUUUUAUUUAAUGUAUAUAUUAUUAGAAAUAAUUUAUAUAUUUACAAAUAGACAUAUUUUAAAAUGGUAAUUAAAUAAAAAAUAAAUAUAAUAAAGUAACUUUAUAAAUUUCAAUUAUUUUUAUCAAAAGUUAAAUAAUAAAAAAUUAAAAGGUCAAAGUAAACUUGAAUAAAUCAAACUAAAAACAAUUACAUUAUGGUUUUAUUUUUUAAACUAAUAAAAGUAAAAUAGAAAAAUAGAAAAAUUUAUUUAUAUAUAACAUUUUUAAAUAUUUUAUAUCUGCGCAUGCGCAGGAAAACUCCUAGUUGUUUUAAGAAACAAUAUUAGAUAAUUCGAAUACUUUUCAAUAUUUUUAAAAUAUCCAGGUAGUUCAAUUUUUUUGGUAAUUUGAUUUAUAAAUAUAAGUUCAGUAUAUUUAGUUAUUUAAAAUCUAAAUACAAUUGAUAUAUUAAGGUAUAUAAUUUGUAUUUUAAAACUUGGGUAUCUAUUCGGUUUUUCUUUCUGGUUCGGUUUAGUUUUCAGUUCUAGAAAUAUAACAGUCACUCGGAUUUUUAUAAUAUUCUGUUUGUUUUUAUUUCUGGUUUGGUACAAAUCGGUUCUUCAGUUUUGGAUAAAUGUAGCUGCACGUAUAUGUGGCUAUCUAUAUGGAAUAACUAAACAACUAAUUUCAACCAUUUUAAGCAUUACAUAUGGGAAAACAAUAUCAAAUCCAUCACGAGUAUCAAUCCAAAAAUAUAUGAAGGUAAAGACAAUCAAAUUUUAUUUGUUAUGAACUGUAUAUAUUCAAAAUAA